rnacentral:rRNA from 1 species
GAUGAACGCUGGCGGCGUGCCUAAUACAUGCAAGUCGAGCGAACAGACGAGGAGCUUGCUCCUCUGACGUUAGCGGCGGACGGGUGAGUAACACGUGGAUAACCUACCUAUAAGACUGGGAUAACUUCGGGAAACCGGAGCUAAUACCGGAUAAUAUAUUGAACCGCAUGGUUCAAUAGUGAAAGACGGUCUUGCUGUCACUUAUAGAUGGAUCCGCGCCGCAUUAGCUAGUUGGUAAGGUAACGGCUUACCAAGGCAACGAUGCGUAGCCGACCUGAGAGGGUGAUCGGCCACACUGGAACUGAGACACGGUCCAGACUCCUACGGGAGGCAGCAGUAGGGAAUCUUCCGCAAUGGGCGAAAGCCUGACGGAGCAACGCCGCGUGAGUGAUGAAGGUCUUUGGAUCGUAAAACUCUGUUAUUAGGGAAGAACAAAUGUGUAAGUAACUAUGCACGUCUUGACGGUACCUAAUCAGAAAGCCACGGCUAACUACGUG